GACGAACGCUGGCGGCGUGCUUAACACAUGCAAGUCGAACGAAGUGGCGAACGGGUGAGUAACGCGUAAUCAACCUGCCCUUCAGAGGGGGACAACAGUUGGAAACGACUGCUAAUACCGCAUACUGAAGGAGGGGAUUGCGUCUGAUUAGCUAGUUGGGGGGGUAACGGCCCACCAAGGCGAUGAUCAGUAGCCGGUCCGAGCGGAAGGACCGCCACAUUGGGAAUGGGGCACGGCCCCAGAUUCUACGGGAGGCAGCAGUGGGGAAUCUUUCGCAAUGGACGAAAGUCUGACGGCGCAACGCCGCGUGAGGGAUGGCGGCCUUCGGGUUGUAAAGCUCUGUUAAUCGGGACGCGGUACCGGAAUAGAAAGCCACGGCUAACUCCGUGCCAGCAGCCGCGGUAAUUC
rnacentral:rRNA from 1 species